UGUGGAAAUCCUCAUUAGAAUCACCGACUUUAAGGCUGUGAAAUCGUCUCUUCCCAGCGCCGCUAUUUGCAGUGGGAGCACGUGCAGGCUGUGAGCUCCAAGCCCUGUCGUUCAGCAGCCCCACGGCUUUGCUCGGGAGCGGAGGUGUUUCGGCAGUUCACAAAGCUCCCAUCCAUUCUGCAGACAGAUGUGUGUGCCACAGCCACCCUCUGCACAUGCCCGUAAUAGAAGCCAUUAGCUCCGCCGUUCCCCGCGCGCUGCAGCGCAUGGCGGGGAUGCAACGCGUUCCUAAUGCAUGCAGUGUGGACUGGCUAGGACACAAAUAGUGUUGCAGAUUACCAGAGCUAUUUAUCAUUUUAAUGGAACGCCGCGGAAUAUUACAUUGCGCCAUGUGUUUAAAUUGAUAAAUUGUAUUAGGAAAACAUCGGAUGGGAUUUUUAAUGCCCUUUAGGAAAGGGGAAUGGGCUCAAUUGGUGAAGGUGAACUUUAUUAACGGCCCUAAGGAGAGGUGCAGCUGCUGCUCCGUCCCCAUCUGUAUUGCACUGAUGGGAGUCUGGAAAAUGCAACUUCACACUGUACAUCCUCACAGCAGAGCUUCAGCGAGGGAUGAGGGCUGCGUGUGCUGUCCUGUGUGCUGUCUGGGUUGGGGUGCACAACAGUUUGCAUUCCAGCAACGCUUCUCCUAUUUGCCGGCCGCUGCUCCGGGAGGAUCUGCUCCUCCUAAUGGCUCUGCUCCUUGAGUUCAUUAAAUAAUCACCUCACACCAAAUGUGUAUUGUCUGGUUUUGGCCACGGGCGUACCAGAAGUGUAAAAACAAUUUUCAGGCAGCCUGGAAUGUAGUCUGAUUUCUGAUUCUGAUGCUAAUUUAGUGGCAGGCGAGGAGUGGAUGACAAGAGAGGUGCUCUGCCUGCUUUUAACCCUUUCCCCCGUCUUGUCAGUGCUGCUUUCUCCAGCAGCACACUGUGUUGAUGCCCCUGGAGCCGUCCCUGCUCUGUUCUGAAUCCCCUGUCUGCCUUCUGGCAUGGAGCAG
rnacentral:lncRNA from 1 species